rnacentral:misc_RNA from 1 species
UUAAAAACCAUUACCAGCCAAGGGUCGAAAAGCCUGCUGUUGGUAUUGGAUUCAACCACUUGCUUAUCCUUACCUGUUGCUUCCGUGGAAUUAUGGGGGCCUGCCUUGCUUGCAAGCGUUAGGUUACUCUCCACGGGUAUUUUUUGAACUCUUGUGUUUUAGUUUGUGCUGUCUGAACAAUAUUUAUAAAGUCUUA